UUUCAAUUAUGUUUACACUUUUUUCUUAUGCUUUGGUUGAACAAUUAGGAUGGUUUACUUAAGCAUGACUAAUUUAAGGAAUUGAGUUUAGAUCUAGAUAUAGUUAAAAUAGACAGCUGGAAACGUUUUCAUAAAUUUUCUGCUAAAAAAAGUCAGGCAGUGAAACCGGCGCAACAAGUUUAUGAGCAUUUAUAAUUAGUAUUUGUUUACGUGUAGUGAAAUGUAUGUAGGGUAGCACAAAUAAGCGUGCAAAUUAAAAAAAAAAAGACAGACUGUCUUAAUUUAUAAGUUUUUAGCUGAGUUUGAUGAUCCAGGGUCAGUAUCUUUGAUGCAUAACAUGCUUCUAAAAUGUUGAUUUAUCAGAAUUGAAAUCUAUCAUCUACUGAGGUCAGACGUAAACAUGUAAUCAUCAAAUCUUCAUAAAAUAAUUAUACGCUGGUCGUUAGAUUUGUGCAAGAUAAUUACUAAAAAGAUGGAUUAAGAGAAAAAAUAAUUAAUCUAUUUACAAUUAAUGUUUUUUAUAUAUUUCUUAUUUACUUUAAAAGUUUUUAUAAUUUAACUUAAGAAUGGAGAUUCCUCCAUCUGAAUCGGCAUGCAAAAAACUCAAAACUGAGAAUGGAUCAUUAAAGAUAAAGUUACAAGAUCAAGAAAAUGGAAAUAACAUUGAAAAAAUCCGUGUUGGGUCGAGAAAAAGCCAAGUAUGCCUAUUAAUUAUAUAUUAAUUUUUUUCCUUUGAUCUGUUAACAUUAAGAAAGAAAAUUGGGGAGAUUUCCGUAUCAUGAUCUGUGGCAGAAUAAUCGCCAAAUCUCGGCAACUUCUAGGCAGCAGCCUGCGAGAAACUAAGAAAAAACUGGAUAGAAAAGGACUAAGUAUCACUUGUAGCUACUUCCGGGCAAGCAUCUACUUGUUUUUGUUUUUUUUUUUUUCAAAAAAUUUGCAAGCUUAAAAUCUAUUUCGCGAUUGUAGUUGUUGCAACGGAUAUCACAAUAUGGAAAUAUUGCCUUGGCAAUGGCCCACAAGAAAUUAAGAAAACAUUACAGAAAGAAACCAACUCAAAAUGUAUAACUCGUUGCCAAUUAAGGGCAAACAUUUACAUGUUUUGUUUGUUUUUUUUUUAAGAAAAAAAUCUGUGAGCUUAAAAUCUAUUUGUCACUAUGGCGAUUGUAGUUUGUGCAGCAGAUCGCAAUACAGUAAUAUCCUCCAAAAUUUUAAUAUGUAUCAAUAAGUAAGAUUUCCUUUUUAGAAAGACCUGUAUAUUGUUUAGCUUAGAGAGUAGUAAAAAGUGAUACUUUUCGGUUAGCCAGGCACAAUCAACUACUUUUUUUUUAAUUUAUUUUAUUUUUAUAUGUUUAUAAGGUCAUAUUUUUUGUCUUCUUUUUGCUUAUGUCCCGUUAAUUGAAAAGCAAUUAAAAAGUUUGUUAGUUUAGUACAAAACUCGUUUAACUGCUUGAAGGAUUAAAUAUUUUGAAAUAAAAUUCUUUUACAAUACAUUUCUGAUAUAAGCAAUAAAUAUUGCACUAUUCAUGCAAUUCAAUUUCAUAGUUGUCAACAAAAAGAAUGAAGAAAUUUUUUUUUUUUUUUUGUCAGAUCCUGCCUCAAAAUGGUAAAUUUGACCCUCUUAAUUACAUGGAAAUAGUUUUAAAUUAAGUGGAUAGGUUUUGACUGGCCUAGAAAGCAAGUAAAAAAAAAACACUUUUCAUUACCUUUUUUUUAAUUGAAAUUAUAUUAUGUUACCUUAUAUCCAUAUUCAACAUCAUAGCAAUUGUUAAAGUGAAGGGAAUUUUAACAUCUAACCUUUGAGAGCCUGGACUGGCCCAGCUGAAUUUAAUAAAAUUGUAACUGAACUUUUCUGUUCCUAUAUUUGUUUAUAACAGCAGGCUAGAUUUCACAGUUAUUGUGAUGAUUCUUUUAAAGCAUUGUAAAAGCUAUCCAAAUAUCGUUAGUCGUGCAGAAUUUCUUUGAAAAAUUAUCAAUAAAAGUGGGAACAUAAAUUAGUAUUAUUAAUAACACUUUAAAUAUCACUCAUAAUUUUUGAUGUUCUAUUUAAUUCUAUACGGUAACUAACAAAAGUUCUAAGAUGCCUGUAAGCCAGGCUCGGCAAUUUUUUGACAGGUUUAUACAUGGAUCAAAUCAAACAUC